rnacentral:rRNA from 1 species
GUCUGUGCCUAAAUAUCCUGAAGUCACCAGAUCCUGUCAGCUCUUAGAAACUAAGCAGGGUCAGCUUUGUUAUUACUUAGGUGGGAGGCCACCAAAGAGUACCAGGUGUUGUGGGCU